GUGAGAGUUGUAGUCCCAAAACAUCUGGAGGGCCGAGUUUGCCUAUGCCUGCUCUCAUGGGACCCUAUGGUAAAGGGCAGAUAAAAAAUAAAAUCGAAUAAAAUCAAUCAAUAAUGAAAAUCAAAACUGUACCACAGCAUCUCCUAUGUUGCUAGAGGAAAUAAUUGGAUCUUUGCAGAAAGCUAAAGUCAUUACAAUAUCUUGCAACCUUUCAACAAACAUGUAGAAACUGGAUGUUCAGAAUCUUAGAAACUAAUGAAAUAGGGAGUUACAGUGUUCCCUUUAACUCAAUCAAUGGAAAGUUGCUUUAGCAUCUAUAGGUAGUAUUUCUUUAGGUUUAAAAUUGAGAUUGAUUCCACAAAUAUUGAUGUUCUGAGCAUAUUGGAUCCCACAGCACCUUCAUAGGAAGGAAUUGGCUAGUUCAAAUAGAUGACAGGACUGAGACAAUAAAUGGGUGAAGCCUCCCUUUAGGACUAUAUCAACUCAAACUAGAAGACAAAUGCUUGCACUUGGAUAGGAGUGGUAUUUAACUCUGAGAAGAGUCUCACUCAUUUUUAAAACAUCUGUGGCAACCUGUUGGAAGGGCUGCUGAGAUUUGGGCACUUACCACCAUAUGCGGUGGAGUCAUCAAAAGGUGCAAACAUUAUGGGUUGCGAUGUUCUCAAGAAAUGGAAACCAUUACCAAGCAGUCCAUAGGUAUGUUACCCCACUUAGCGUUAUUGACAUUUAUGUGGCUAAUGCAGGCCUAAACUGCAAAGAAUUGAAUGGGCCACUUUUUAAUGGCAGCACCUGUAGUGAAAACCCUGGCCUGAAAAACACUAGAAGGAAUUUAUUUAGACAAAUGGUAGGGACAGGUAUGGCAAAUGGUCAUCCUGGAAAAGUUGAACCAUGUUAUGAAGGUGUCUUGAGGGCAAAGUAAGCAUGAGAAAUAUUGGGUGGUUGGGCAACUUUAUUGUGUCCACAAAUCAUAGGGAACACGGGCAGCCAUUUUGCCUUUUUUCUGUUUAUGAAAUGGAUAAGUAAUGAAAACGCUGCAAAACAAUUGCAAAGCUUUAACACUGGUUUGGAGUGAAUCGGAGAAGGUUGGAUUUCUGGGUGUUAACUGGUUUGAUGUACCAAUUACUCUGUUUGGGUAGGUGCUGCAAAAUGUGGGGAUCGCACUGCAAAACACUGCAAAAGGACUGCAAAACAUUGGCGUUGGUUUGGAGAGGAUCCCAGAUUUCAAGGCUCAUAGUUGAUGAAGCUGUAUGGCAGUAUGUAUUUGCCUUGAGUGAACAAUACUGACUUCAAAAUAACCUGUAUCAAUAGUAUGGGGAACGUAGAAUGUGUCUUUUGAAUGAGGAACUUUAACUUUUAUUUCUCAGUGUCUCUCCAAACUAGAAAACAAUGGGAAAGGGAGAGGAAUGGUUGCCAUUGCCCUAAUUUUCAAGUGUGUGUGUGUGUGUGUGUGUUUGUAAAUUCCUCCCUUGGGCCUUCAGAAUGACAUUUGACUGCAUGAAAUAUAUGCAUAAAUGCUGAAUUAGCAUUUGUAAAAAAGGAUUUGUAAAAGGAGCCUCUGGAAACAUCUACAUUUCAAACUAAGAUAGACAGUGGCAGAAUUGUUGAAGAAGCUAUUGCAUUGUAAUCAUCUGUUAAUUAAGAAUAGUCACAAAACAGCUAUGAUUUCCAUUUAUUUAACAGCUUGAGACUAACUUCUUGCUAGCUUCAAUUGGAACAAUGUGUAAGUAAAAAAUGGCGACUGUUCAUUUGCUUCAUAAACAGGUCGAACAGUAGUGUGUGUGUGGUUGUAGUUGUUGUUUUUAUGAAAAAAACCCUGAAACAAAAACCCUGCUACAUGCAGUAGCUCUACGCUUGUUUGUCUGAGAGCCAAAGGCAUACUGAAUUUGUGACCACCUGAAAAGAAGUUUCCUUAGCAAUUACAGGCAUGUGAAAGUCAAAGCUUCCUUUCCUCCUCAUGUGACCUUUUCCCCAACCAGUUCAAUAGCAAUGAAUUCCAAGCACCCACGGCGUUCAUGAAUUGAUAAACAAUGCUUUGUCAAGUAGUCCAAGCAUUUCUGCCUUCAUUACUGUGAAAUUAGAGUUUUAUUCUCUCUCCUACACCCUUCCAGACUCUUAACAUGGUCCACAAGCGCAUUUUCUUUUGAAAUCAAAUAGCACCAAGCAUGCAAAUAUACGUGUGGGAAAUGUCCAAGCACGUGGGGCCUAAAAGUGCCAAACGGCUAGCUGGAUUGCGCCUCUGCUAUUUCUUAUCAAUCACUUGGCAUGUGUUCCAUCCUCUCCUGUGCAACAUUCAAAGUCAACAUAGGACUAAGCUGCUGGUGGAAUCUGUUUUGUCUUGCCUAUGCGAAGUGGAUAGAGCACAGCUGGUGCUGCAGUCGCUUUGACCCCUGUGCUUGUAAGUACAUACUCCACAGGGAAGAGGCGGUUGGUUGCUGAAGAAAUAGCAGUAACUAUGGUACUUUCAGGAGAGUGUUUCUCCUCCCACAACAGCAUUAAUAGUUAAAGGGUUUCAUGGUAGGACACUUGGGUCCUGCACUGCACUUCUUCGAUUUAAAUUUAACUUCUUUGCUUGAAAAGGCAACUCCAGUUCACAGCUUAACAGAAACAAAAUACAGGGCUGUGGGGGCAGUUUGGGGCUUUUAUUGGAGAUCCCUGCUAGAUAGAUAUUUAGAGCUCAGGCCCCACUGCACUAGACAUUUAAAGCAGUAUCCUACCACUUUAAAUGGACAUGGAUUCCCCUAGAGAAUCCUAGGACAUGUGGUGAAUUAAGACUGUUGAGACCCAGGCCACUAGGCUUUGUAAUAUUUAGUAAGCUGUGCUGGAGAAUGGCGUAUGAAAUAAGGAGCGUAGUAAUCACCUCCUGAGCUGUUUGCUUUACAUGCAAGGUGUGCUACACUUUAAAAAGGUACCGUAUUUUUCCGUGUAUAAGAUGAUUUUUUUUGCCUCCCAAUAAAGUCAAAAAUUGGGGGUUGUCUUAUACAUGGAUGGUGAAUGCACAGGAGCUCAGGUUCAGACUCUGGUGCAAGUAGCCUGGGCUUGGGUUCGAGCUCUGUCGCGGGCAGCCCAGGCUCAGGUUAGGCUUUAGGAUUUACAGAAGCAUUGGAGAGUGGGAUGGAGUCAGAGGAAGACCCUGCUGAGGUAAGGGUUGUCAUAUUCCAAAAAGUGAAAAUCUGGACACAAAAGUUGUUGAGAACAUGCUUGUAUGUGUGAAGGAUGACGUUGAUGUGUUGGGGUUUUUUGUGCUGAUAGUGCAGAAUGACACGUCUAUCUAUCAAUUGUCUGGUAGAAUUUAAUAACAUGUGACUCGUGUUCUUAAUGGAGAAACAUGCAACCCUCCUCUCUUCUAAGUCUGUAUUACUAAUAUCUAAAGAAACAGCUCACACAAAGCAGCCUCUUUCCCUGUCAUGUUUCUUUUAAAAGAGCUAUUGUUAAAGUGCUUCAUUCUGGAGUGCUUUGAUUGUUGUGUUAUGUACAGAACACUGUAAUUAAUUUAACAACAGGUUCUUUGAAGGUCAAAUUCCCACUUUGAAUAUCAAUGUGUCCAAUGUACUGAAUGCAUUUAGGGGCACUCUUUAUAUCUUGCACCUCUCUUAAAAUGUCUGAUACACACACACACACACUGGGUCACUUGUGGGGCAGUUGACCAGGGAUAUUCAGUUUUCUUAAAUGCAGUUUUCAUAUAUCACAAUGAUUUGCAAAGUUUUUCCUCACUGCACCAUCGCUGUGAAACACUUAGCGGAGGAUGAAUUCUAUUCACAAAUCAUGUAUAUAUGCAUGUGAGCUCAAGUCCACUGCCUACUUUGUAUUUGGGUGGUGACUUUUGGUGGCAAAUGUAUCAUCACCUCUUCAUCUCGUUGCUGCAAAGAAAAUAAGUAGCUUAUGGCAGCAGAUUUUAGUAAGUAGCAACUCAUGUUAAUUAAGGAAAGAAUAAAGCUUCUUUGACAUGGAAA